UCGAGCGAACAGAUAAGGAGCUUGCUCCUUUGACGUUAGCGGCGGACGGGUGAGUAACACGUGGGUAACCUACCUAUAAGACUGGGAUAACUUCGGGAAACCGGAGCUAAUACCGGAUAACAUUUGGAACCGCAUGGUUCUAAAGUGAAAGAUGGUUUUGCUAUCACUUAUAGAUGGACCCGCGCCGUAUUAGCUAGUUGGUAAGGUAACGGCUUACCAAGGCAACGAUACGUAGCCGACCUGAGAGGGUGAUCGGCCACACUGGAACUGAGACACGGUCCAGACUCCUACGGGAGGCAGCAGUAGGGAAUCUUCCGCAAUGGGCGAAAGCCUGACGGAGCAACGCCGCGUGAGUGAUGAAGGGUUUCGGCUCGUAAAACUCUGUUAUUAGGGAAGAACAAAUGUGUAAGUAACUGUGCACAUCUUGACGGUACCUAAUCAGAAAGCCACGGCUAACUACGUGCCAGCAGCCGCGGUAAUACGUAGGUGGCAAGCGUUAUCCGGAAUUAUUGGGCGUAAAGCGCGCGUAGGCGGUUUCUUAAGUCUGAUGUGAAAGCCCACGGCUCAACCGUGGAGGGUCAUUGGAAACUGGGAAACUUGAGUGCAGAAGAGGAAAGUGGAAUUCCAUGUGUAGCGGUGAAAUGCGCAGAGAUAUGGAGGAACACCAGUGGCGAAGGCGACUUUCUGGUCUGUAACUGACGCUGAUGUGCGAAAGCGUGGGGAUCAAACAGGAUUAGAUACCCUGGUAGUCCACGCCGUAAACGAUGAGUGCUAAGUGUUAGGGGGUUUCCGCCCCUUAGUGCUGCAGCUAACGCAUUAAGCACUCCGCCUGGGGAGUACGACCGCAAGGUUGAAACUCAAAGGAAUUGACGGGGACCCGCACAAGCGGUGGAGCAUGUGGUUUAAUUCGAAGCAACGCGAAGAACCUUACCAAAUCUUGACAUCCUUUGAAAACUCUAGAGAUAGAGCCUUCCCCUUCGGGGGACAAAGUGACAGGUGGUGCAUGGUUGUCGUCAGCUCGUGUCGUGAGAUGUUGGGUUAAGUCCCGCAACGAGCGCAACCCUUAAGCUUAGUUGCCAUCAUUAAGUUGGGCACUCUAGGUUGACUGCCGGUGACAAACCGGAGGAAGGUGGGGAUGACGUCAAAUCAUCAUGCCCCUUAUGAUUUGGGCUACACACGUGCUACAAUGGACAAUACAAAGGGCAGCUAAACCGCGAGGUCAUGCAAAUCCCAUAAAGUUGUUCUCAGUUCGGAUUGUAGUCUGCAACUCGACUACAUGAAGCUGGAAUCGCUAGUAAUCGUAGAUCAGCAUGCUACGGUGAAUACGUUCCCGGGUCUUGUACACACCGCCCGUCACACCACGAGAGUUUGUAACACCCGAAGCCGGUGGAGUAACCAUUUAUGGAGCUAGCCGUCGA
rnacentral:rRNA from 1 species